rnacentral:rRNA from 1 species
UACGGGGGGAGCAAGCGUUGUUCGGAUUUACUGGGCGUAAAGGGCGCGUAGGCGGCCGCCUAAGUCAGACGUGAAAUCCCUCGGCUCAACCGGGGAACUGCGUCUGAUACUGGGUGGCUAGAAUCCGGGAGAGGGAUGCGGAAUUCCAGGUGUAGCGGUGAAAUGCGUAGAUAUCUGGAGGAACACCGGUGGCGAAGGCGGCAUCCUGGACCGGCAUUGACGCUGAGGCGCGAAAGCCAGGGGAGCAAACGGG